UGUCCUCGGCUUUUUUCAUGAUAUACAUCCCAGUAAGUCGGUCUUAAGGACAAUCCCCAAGCAAGUAUCCUUGGGACUUAUCCUCUAUGAUAAUAUCAUACUUUUGGUUCUUACACCACUGUUCAUUUCGGUUCUUACACUGUUUUCACCCAGUCACUCCGGUUCUUACACCGUUGUCACCUAGUCACUCUGGUUCUUAACCAUUUGUUUUUUACACCGGUUCUUA
rnacentral:lncRNA from 1 species